rnacentral:sRNA from 1 species
GAACCCAGUGGGUGAUCUGGCUGCGACAUCUGUCACCCCAUUGAUCGCCGGGGUUGAUUCGGCUGAUCUGGCUGGCCAGGCGGGUGUCCCCUUCCUCCCUCACUGCUCCAUGCGGGUCCCUCCUGAAGCUGCACGCUCGGUCGGUCUAAGAGGACCACCUUCCCCGAGAGAGGAGGACCGUUCUUCCAUCGAGGGUAUAGGAGUGGCUGCGCGCCCCUGCUGGAACCUCCAAACAAGCUCUCAGGACUUGAAUUCCAGAAUCCCACCUCCCUCCCGCUUCAGCUGAACUUACCUGGCAGUGUCUUC